AGAGUUUGAUCAUGGCUCAGAUUGAACGCUGGCGGCAGGCCUAACACAUGCAAGUCGAGCGGCAGCGGGAAAGUAGCUUGCUACUUUUGCCGGCGAGCGGCGGACGGGUGAGUAAUGCCUGGGACACUGCCUGAUGGAGGGGGAUAACUACUGGAAACGGUAGCUAAUACCGCAUAAUGUCUACGGACCAAAGUGUGGGACCUUCGGGCCACAUGCUAUCGGAUGCGCCUACGUGGGAUUAGCUAGUUGGUGAGGUAAUGGCUCACCAAGGCGACGAUCUCUAGCUGGUCUGAGAGGAUGAUCAGCCACACUGGAACUGAGACACGGUCCAGACUCCUACGGGAGGCAGCAGUGGGGAAUAUUGCACAAUGGGGGAAACCCUGAUGCAGCCAUGCCGCGUGUGUGAAGAAGGCCUUCGGGUUGUAAAGCACUUUCAGCGAGGAGGAAAGGCUGAUGCCUAAUACGUAUCAACUGUGACGUUACUCGCAGAAGAAGCACCGGCUAACUCCGUGCCAGCAGCCGCGGUAAUUC
rnacentral:rRNA from 1 species